ACAGUCAUAUCACGUUGAAAGACCGGUUCCCGUAUGAUCACCGAAGUUAAGCAAUGUCAACCCUGGUCUGUACAUAGAUGGGUGAAUGGUUGUGAAUUUCAGGUGCUGUAAG